AUUGUUUUAAUUUAUAGAGCACACUGGUUGCUGCUUGCUAUCAACCCUAUAAGGGAAGUCGUGUAUUAUCUGAAUUCGGUAAAUGGUGAAUGGACCAAUUAUCCGGCCAUGAAGGACAUCGUUGAUUUGUAAGUGGGAUCGUUCUAAAUAUAUAUUCGUGUAUAUUUAUAUAUUUACUUAUUUGUGGGAUUGAUCUAAACAUAUGCUUUUAUAUAUUUGUUAAUUAGAUCAAUACAAGUGUUCCGAAGUCAACGGGACGCACAGGUAUCCCGAACUAAAUCUAACAACAUUACUUGGAUCCAAGUGCAGUGUCCGCAACAGCGAAACAGUUACGAUUGCGGAUACUUUGUUUUGAGGUAUAUGAAAGAAAUCCUUCAGGCGAAUCAAUUAGAGAUUCCGCUCACGUACCUUGACGAAUUCCGUGCUGCUGCGUACCCGAAGCUUAAGUUGGAAGAAAUCAAAGAAGAUUUGUGUCAAUUUUAUAUUAAGCGCUUUUUCAUGUAGGAUUUGUGUCGAUUUGAACUAUAAUAUUAUUGAUGUUGUAAUGAUGUAUAUAUAUAAUUUUGGAUAUUAUAAUGGUAUUAUA